rnacentral:rRNA from 1 species
CGGUGAAUACGUUCCCGGGUCUUGUACACACCGCCCGUCACACCAUGGGAGUCAGCAACGCCCGAAGUCAGUGACCCAACUCGCAAGAGAGGGAGCUGCCGAAGGCGGGGCAGGUAACUGGGGUGAAGUCGUAACAAGGUAGCCGUAUCGGAAGGUGCGGCUGGAUCACCUCCUUCUAAGGAA